rnacentral:lncRNA from 1 species
AGGAGACUAGAGGACACCCUCGUUGGAGCGCACGAGGAGUUUCGUUGUCAUCGGUGGGUUUGGCUUCGUGGAAAUGGGGCGAAAUGGCCCCUAUGCUCUUUCUACUUGUUGUAAAUUAUUUUUAAGUUCAUUUUUAUGCUAAAUGGGAUUUAUAUGAAUUUUAGAGCACUUAAAAUGCAUGCCUUGUGUAUUAUGAAAAUUUCCCUAUAUAGUAGAGCUAUAUGAGUAGAAUGCUUGCAUACGGAAAAAGUGUCUAUUUUGCAAGUGAAAAAUACAUCUCUUAUGAGGAUUAUGACUUGGAAUAUGUACCUUGGAACAUAGUUGCCAUGUUUUGACAUAGAGAUCAAGAGUGUCAUAAAGGGGCACUUGAAACUAGUAAACUAUGAAACUGCAAUAUAGAGACAUAUUGAUAGGCCACUACAUAUCUGCUAUAUUCCAUGUUAGAGACAUGAUGACAUAGGGAUAGGCCAUUGAGAUACUUGGCACAUUCCAUGUUAUUAUGACAUGAGGACUUGGUACUUGCGACAGAUCGUUUGAUUUCUUGCCAUUGUGCUCAUUCGCACAUGCUUGUGAGGGUCGCUCCCUACAAGCCGGCACUCCGGAGAUGGCCAUCGCGAUUCAUAUUCGCUGUGCGGGAUUGGGCGCCGAAGUGGAUUGCCGUGGGCUAGGCUCAUUCCUAGGGUGGGGAUGAUGACUACCACGAGGCCAUUAGGCUCGGCACCGGCCAGACAGCCUACGGGUGGGUCUCAGGGCCAUAGACAGCCUUCGGGUGGGUCUCUUCAGAUUGGACUUUAUAUAUCCAUUAUGACAUGUGGACAGAUGAUGACUUAGUGUACUACUUGGACAUUGAUUAGAAUAGUAAACAACGGAACUUUACUAUUUCACAUUGUGAACAUCAUGAUAGUUGGAGACACUUACUUUAUGCAUAGUUGCUUUCAUACUUAUGCUAUUCAUGCUAAGUAGAGAUAUCAUGUCGUAGUAGGUUACAUAUUUACUUACCUGUCGCCUUUCUACUUUUAUAGUCACUGACAUCUUUUGUAGCUUUGGGCCUUGUGGUGCAUUCACUGAAGUCAGUAAUUGCCCACUGGGAACUAUUUUUAAUAGUUCUCAUGCCCUCGUUUUGUGGUUUACUUUUCAGAGCCUUCGGCACCGGCGGAGGCACGAGAUCGCGGCAAGGGUGUCGCGUAGCUAGCUCGGGAGAGUUUCUUUUGCGCUAGGUGGUUACUUCUUCUCCAUUUUAUAUUUUGGGAGAGAGGGAGAGGUUUUGUACCCUGUAUAGAGAGACCACCGUGUACUCUUUUUAGCACUUGUUAUGGGAUCCCUCUUGUACUUACUUUAUGUUUUAU